AAGAGUUUGAUCCUGGCUCAGGAUUAACGCUGGCGGCGCGCCUAAUACAUGCAAGUCGAACGGAAGUUUAAGCAAUUAAACUUUAGUGGCGAACGGGUGAGUAACGCGUAAGCAAUCUGCCCCUAAGACGAGGAUAACAGUUGGAAACGACUGCUAAGACUGGAUAGGAGACAAGAAGGCAUCUUCUUGUUUUUAAAAGACCUAGCAAUAGGUAUGCUUAGGGAGGAGCUUGCGUCACAUUAGUUAGUUGGUGGGGUAAAGGCCUACCAAGACUAUGAUGUGUAGCCGGGCUGAGAGGUUGAACGGCCACAUUGGGACUGAGACACGGCCCAAACUCCUACGGGAGGCAGCAGUAGGGAAUUUUCGGCAAUGGAGGAAACUCUGACCGAGCAACGCCGCGUGAACGAUGAAGUAUUUCGGUACGUAAAGUUCUUUUAUUAGGGAAGAAUAAAUGAUGGAAAAAUCAUUCUGACGGUACCUAAUGAAUAAGCCCCGGCUAACUAUGUGCCAGCAGGUGGUGCAUGGUUGUCGUCAGCUCGUGUCGUGAGAUGUUGGGUUAAGUCCCGCAACGAGCGCAACCCUUAUUGUUAGUUGCCAGCACGUAAUGGUGGGGACUUUAGCAAGACUGCCAGUGAUAAAUUGGAGGAAGGUGGGGACGACGUCAAAUCAUCAUGCCCCUUAUGACCUGGGCUACAAACGUGAUACAAUGGCUGUUACAAAGGGUAGCUGAAGCGCAAGUUUUUGGCGAAUCUCAAAAAAACAGUCUCAGUUCGGAUUGAAGUCUGCAACUCGACUUCAUGAAGUUGGAAUCGCUAGUAAUCGCGAAUCAGCAUGUCGCGGUGAAUACGUUCUCGGGGUUUGUACACACCGCCCGUCAAACCACGAAAGUUGGCAAUACCCAAAGCCGGCGGCCUAACUUCGCAAGAAGAGGGAACCGUCUAAGGUAGGGUCGAUGAUUGGGGUUAAGUCGUAACAAGGUAUCCCUACCGGAAGGUGGGGAUGGAUCACCUCCUUU
rnacentral:rRNA from 1 species